rnacentral:rRNA from 1 species
CCUACGGGAGGCAGCAGUGAGGAAUAUUGGUCAAUGGGCGCAAGCCUGAACCAGCCAUGCCGCGUGGAGGAUGAAGGUCCUCUGGAUUGUAAACUUCUUUUAUAGGGGGCGAAAAAAGGGAAUUCUUUCUCGUCUGACGGUACCCUAUGAAUAAGCACCGGCUAACUCCGUGCCAGCAGCCGCGGUAAUACGGAGGGUGCAAGCGUUAUCCGGAUUCACUGGGUUUAAAGGGAGCGUAGGCGGGCAUGUAAGUCAGUGGUGAAAGCCCUCAGCUUAACUGAGGAACUGCCAUUGAUACUAUAUGUCUUGAAUGUCGUUGAGGUUUGCGGAAUAGGUCAUGUAGCGGUGAAAUGCUUAGAUAUGACCUAGAACACCUAUUGCGAAGGCAGCAGGCUAAACGAAUAUUGACGCUGAGGCUCGAAAGCGUGGGGAUCAAACAGGAUUAGAUACCCUGGUAGUCCACGCCCUAAACGAUGAUUACUCGACAUUGGCGAUACACAGUCAGUGUCUGAGCGAAAGCAUUAAGUAAUCCACCUGGGAAGUACGACCGCAAGGUUGAAACUCAAAGGAAUUGACGG